CCUGAUUGGCUGGCAUUACCAAGUGGCUGCAGCUACAACAGAUCUGGUUAAUCAGCGCUCUGCGUUCUUGAGGUAGAUCAGAGGAUCAGUUCUUUGCUGAUGCAUCAUUUGCCUUUGCUAAAGCUACUCAGACCCUCUGUGUUUUGAACUUCCCUGAGUUAACCUUUGUGAAUUUCUUUGUUCAGAGUUUUAUGCCUCCUGAGAUUUACCUGGACGAUCCUCUCCCUGCGAUCCUGGAAGAACCUGAAAGAAAGCCACUCACCUGGCCUAAUGCUGCACUGCCUGUCUGCUUCUGUCUGGAACCAACUCACCUACAAAACCGGAUUGUAAAUACUCCCCUGGAAAUCCUGGACCUCUCCCUCAUUGCCGAGCCUCCAUCCAAUAUCCAUCUGGUUCCUGUAAAAGCCCCACCUGUGAAUAAAAUCACUUACCUUUUUA